rnacentral:rRNA from 1 species
CCUUCUUUCUCUCGCUUUUUUCGGAUUUACUGGGCGUAAAGCGCACGUAGGCGGCAUAGUAAGUCAGGGGUGAAAUCCCGGGGCUCAACCUCGGAACUGCCCUUGAAACUGCUAGGCUUGAAUCUUGGAGAGGCGAGUGGAAUUCCGAGUGUAGAGGUGAAAUUCGUAGAUAUUCGGAAGAACACCAGUGGCGAAGGCG